rnacentral:rRNA from 1 species
GCAGCCGCGGUAACACCGGCAGCUCUAGUGGUAGCUGUUUUUAUUGGGCCUAAAGCGUUCGUAGCCGGUUUGAUAAGUCACUGGUGAAAUCCUGUAGCUUAACUGUGGGAAUUGCUGGUGAUACUGUUGAACUUGAGGUCGGGAGAGGUUAGCGGUACUCCCAGGGUAGAGGUGAAAUUCUGUAAUCCUGGGAGGACCACCUGUGGCGAAGGCGGCUAACUGGAACGAACCUGACGGUGAGGGACGAAAGCUAGGGGCGCGAACCGGAUUAGAUACCCC